rfam:Strongyloides venezuelensis genome assembly, scaffold: SVE_scaffold0000028
UCUCUGGUAGUAUAGUGGUGAGUAUCCGCGCCUGUCACGUGCGAGACCGGGGUUCGAUUCCCCGCCAGAGAG